UACGUAGGGGGCAAGCGUUGUCCGGAAUCAUUGGGCGUAAAGAGCGUGUAGGCGGCCCGAUAAGUCCGCUGUGAAAGUCCAGGGCUCAACCCUGGGAUGCCGGUGGAUACUGUCGGGCUCGAAUCCGGGAGAGGGAUGUGGAAUUCCAGGUGUAGCGGUGAAAUGCGUAGAUAUCUGGAGGAACACCGGUGGCGAAGGCGGCAUCCUGGACCGGUAUUGACGCUGAUGCGCGAAAGCCAGGGGAGCAAACGGG
rnacentral:rRNA from 1 species